rnacentral:rRNA from 1 species
AACGAACGCUGGCGGCAUGCCUAACACAUGCAAGUCGAACGAGACCUUCGGGUCUAGUGGCGCACGGGUGCGUAACGCGUGGGAACCUGCCCUUAGGUUCGGAAUAACUCCCCGAAAGGGGUGCUAAUACCGGAUAAUGUCUUCGGACCAAAGAUUUAUCGCCUUUGGAUGGGCCCGCGUUGGAUUAGCUAGUUGGCAGGGUAAAAGCCUACCAAGGCGACGAUCCAUAGCUGGUCUGAGAGGAUGAUCAGCCACACUGGGACUGAGACACGGCCCAGACUCCUGCGGGAGGCAGCAGUGGGGAAUAUUGGACAAUGGGCGAAAGCCUGAUCCAGCAAUGCCGCGUGAGUGAUGAAGGCCUUAGGGUUGUAAAGCUCUUUUACCCGGGAUGAUAAUGACAGUACCGGGAGAAUAAGCUCCGGCUAACUCCGUG